rnacentral:rRNA from 1 species
UACGGAGGGUGCAAGCGUUAAUCGGAAUUACUGGGCGUAAAGCGUGCGUAGGCGGUUCGUUAAGUCAGAUGUGAAAGCCCCGGGCUCAACCUGGGAACUGCAUUUGAAACUGGGGGACUAGAGUUAGGUAGAGGGGAGUGGAAUUUCAGGUGUAGCGGUGAAAUGCGUAGAUAUCUGAAGGAACACCAGUGGCGAAGGCGACUCCCUGGACCCAAACUGACGCUGAGGUACGAAAGCGUGGGUAGCAAACAGGAUUAGAUACCCUGGUAGUCCACGCCGUAAACGAUGUCAACUAGCCGUUGGGCCUAUUUACAGGCUUAGUGGCGCAGCUAACGCAUUAAGUUGACCGCCUGGGGAGUACGGCCGCAAGGUUA